rnacentral:rRNA from 1 species
UACGUAGGGUGCGAGCGUUGUCCGGAAUUAUUGGGCGUAAAGAGCUCGUAGGCGGUGUGUCACGUCGUUCGUGAAAACCUGCAGCUUAACUGUGGGCGUGCGGUCGAUACGGGCAUCACUGGAGUUCGGCAGGGGAGACUGGAAUUCCUGGUGUAGCGGUGAAAUGCGCAGAUAUCGGGAAGAACACCUAUGGCGAAGGCAGCUCUCUGGGACGGUACUGACGCUGAGACGCGAAAGCGUGGGGAGCGAACAGG